ACGCAGGGCCCCAAUAGAGACCCAAGUACCUAACGCGACCACACCAGUUAAUAGGACUAGGAACAAGUAAACUACCAACCAUGGGUGGGUGCCAAAGCGACCCAUCAGUACGGAGAGGAAGCAUGAGCCUCACCCCCUCAAACGCCCUCUUAACGACAUCAACGGAAGCAGCCACAACAAGGGCCUCACAUUUCCGAACGUUGCAGCGCAUACCAAAAGCAGCACAGAACUCAAUAAGCAGCUUAAGCGAGAACUGGAGGGGUGCCAACGAGGUCGCGAACAA
rnacentral:lncRNA from 1 species